UACGGAGGGAGCUAGCGUUGUUCGGAAUUACUGGGCGUAAAGCGCACGUAGGCGGCUACUCAAGUCAGAGGUGAAAGCCCAGGGCUCAACCCUGGAACUGCCUUUGAAACUAGGUAGCUAGAAUCUUGGAGAGGUCAGUGGAAUUCCGAGUGUAGAGGUGAAAUGCGCAGAUAUCAGGAAGAACACCCGUGGCGAAGGCGGCUCUCUGGGACGGUACUGACGCUGAGACGCGAAAGCGUGGGGAGCGAACAGG
rnacentral:rRNA from 1 species